rnacentral:rRNA from 1 species
UACGGGGGGGGGCAAGCGUUGUUCGGAAUUACUGGGCGUAAAGGGCUCGUAGGCGGCCAACUAAGUCGGAUGUGAAAUCCCCAAGCUUAACUUGGGAACUGCAUCCGAUACUGGAUGGCUUGAAUCCGGGAGAGGAUGUGGGAAUUCCUGGUGUAGCGGUGAAAUGCGUAGAUAUCAGGAGGAACACCGGUGGCGAAGGCGCACCAUCUGGCCCGAUACUGACGCUGAAGCCGCGAAAGCUAGGGGAGCAAACGGG